UCACNAUCCACUUCGGUAGCGCCCACACAGAUUUUGCAUGCCUGUCUUCAACUCUUAUCGUGAAAUUUUUGGUUAAGUCCCCGCAACGAGCGCAACCCACNUCCUUAGUUGCCAUCAUUCAUUUUGUCACUCUAGGGAGACUGCCGGUGAUAAGCCGCGAGGAAAGUGUGGAUGACGUCAAGUCCUCAUGCCCCUUACGGGAUGGACUACACACGUGCUACAAUGGCUGUUACAGUGGGACAAAAAGGAGCGAUCUCAAGCAAAUCCCCAAAAGCCGUCCCCAGUUCGGAUUGCACUCUGCCCCUUGAGGGCAAAAACCCNG
rnacentral:rRNA from 1 species